rnacentral:lncRNA from 1 species
CAGCUUCAUAUGUGGAUGCAUCAAACUCUCUCAACUCUUGGACUGUGGACUUUUGCUCAAGAAUGUUGCUGGGUCUGGGAAUUAUGUCUCGACAAAAGCAUCAUUUGCUGUGGCUGAUGGUCAUCUGUUGUGUUACAUGCCAGAUAAGUAUGUUGAUUUAAAAAUGCAUUUAUCGUGCCAAUGAAUAUAUUAUUUGGUGCACAGAGCCUUAUAACAUUCUCUUUCUUUGUGCAGCCUGCUCAAAAAUGAUGAUAAUUGGCGAGAAUUUGACAGAUACAUGUUUCUUGAGCAUCAACAGAUCAACCUGUCCAGGUACAGUAGAUGUGAAAUGCAAGUGUCUUAUAUCAUUUACUUGUUUUUCUCUUUUUCUGCACUUUAGAAUGAAUGAGGCUUCUACUAUCAUUUUUAUUUGAAUAAAAGAUUUCUGUGAAUAAUCUGUAUAUUUAUUUUCUGAUAGUGCUCAUGACAACUGAUAAGUUCACGGGGUUAUUUUAUUUAUUUUAUUUAUUUAUUUUUUCAGCUAUAAACCUGAUAUCUCCACCAUCAAAUGAAAUACUGAUAGGAGAUUUUUGCAUAGUGAAUGUCAAGCACAACACGUCUUCCACAGGACAUUGCAAAACAUACAGUUUCAACAUAACAAACAAUGGGGGGAAAUAUGAAGUAAGAAUGAAUGAGCUGGCUAAAAACAUUAAAAUGUGGUUUUUCCCAAAUCCAUCUAAGUGCCUUACAUCAGAACUCCUGAAUUCAACAGGUAUGUGAUAGACGCAGUGUAACUAGGGUUGCGAAAAGGUGGAAAAAUUUCCAGUAAAUUUCAGAUUUUUUGGAAUAUUCCAGGGAUUUUUGGAAAGUUUCCUGAAAUAUUUAACCGUAAAGAUAGCUAGAAGUAUAGAAAUAGCAUAAAAUUAAAGUAGAAGCCUCAUUCCUUCUAAAGUGUGGGCAGAGGCUUUGGUUGUGUACGGCAGGAUGGGGCUUCUGUCUGGUCGGGUCAAUGCAAACCAAUUUAUUUUUAUUGCAGAAUUAACAGAGUAUGUUACUACGUGCAACAUAUAAUUUGCAAUUGUUUACAGUCUACUAGACCCUACUACACCACUACACCACCCCUACUAACACCUCUACCAACACCUGACUCUACCAUCACUACUACCAAGCCCUAUCACCAUCACCACCCCUACUAACACCUCUACCAACACUGACUCUACCAUCACUACUACCAGCCCUAUCACCAUCACCACCGAAUUGACCAGCUUCCUCGCUACUAACAACUCUACCACCACCACCACCACCACCACGACUAAAUCUACCACUAUCACCAGUACUAACAACCCUACAAAUACACUAGAAGACUAAUAACCAUAAACCAUUAACAUAACGCACAUAAUGUGUCUAGAGAUA